rnacentral:lncRNA from 1 species
CUUCAUUACUGAAUUAAAAAAAGAGUCCAAAGAUUUUUUGUCAGCUUUUUCCCGUUUUAUCCAUUUCAUACAGUAAGUAUGGAGUGAGUCGUGGAUGAUAUUACGACACUCAUUCAAUUAAUAAUUGACGGGGGACGAUAUUUAGGUCCUUUACUGAGGAAUGAUUUUAACUCUCGGUCUUGAACGAUGUUAAGAUCUCCUGUUAUAACAUGGGAAAUGGGGCC